CGGCACCGGCACCGCGGACACCUCGCAGCACCGCAGCCGCCCUGCUACCCAGAACCGUGUCCUGGUUUAGACACCACGGCUGUCGGGAGCACAAGUCCCAGCUAUUAUUUUUCUCUAACCAUCUCUUUCCCAUUUGUACCAGCUCAUUUGCCACAGGAAGGUUGAGAGGAGCACUCCCUAAUGCAAUCUUCAUGAACACAAAGACUACAUUAUUUUAUGGCCAAGCCAUCAGCUUGAGAACAAAGGAAAAAAGCUGCUUCCCAGAAAUUUAACAAGAUGUGUGGCCUCCAUUAAAAAUGCUUAAAAAAUGGCACAACUAAAUGAAAUUAUUUUCUGCAGAGA